rnacentral:lncRNA from 1 species
GUCUCAGGUCAAGGUUUUGCUAUUAUCACAAUGUUUGAAAUAUUCAAAUAAAUACACUUGUGUUGGAUCCCUCGCUUCUACCCUCCAGAUGGCCUUUUAAGCUCAGUUCUUGACCCAUCCAGCUUCAACAUUUUGUGGAUCAGCAGUAACAGAUGAAAUAUCCUGGUAAACAUAAAAUCAACUGAGCGUCUCCAGAGGGACUAUUCCUGUAACUACUGAUUACACGGAAUCAGGCGCCCAGACUACUGGCAGACCCCAGUGAUCAGACCAGCAAAUAAAUCCUGGUUCCUGACAACUGCUUUACAAGGACAAAACAUGAAACAAACCAGAGGGUCACCACAGCCACCACCACCAUUACAACUACAGCUCCAGGGAUCUUCAAAUGGACCAGUAACAUCGUUACAG